rnacentral:hammerhead_ribozyme from 1 species
GUUCAGCUGACGAGUCUCAAAUGGGUCGAGACGCGCGUCCUGUAU